UUUUGUCUGUAUGUCUAUCUGCGUUUCUGGUCAGGUCUGAUGGUAUCUGUGAUAUAUACAGUACUCUGUAAAGUCUCUCCUCCUGUCUGUGGUCAGGUCUGAUGGUAUCUAUGAUAUAUACAGUACUCUGUAAAGUCUCUCCUGUCUGUGGUCAGGUCUGAUGGUAUCUAUGAUAUAUACAGUACUCUGUAAAGUCUCUCCUCCUCUCUGUGGUCAGGUCUGAUGGUAUCUAUGAUAUAUACAGUACUCUGUAAAGUCUCUCCUCCUGUCUGUGGUCAGGUCUGAUGGUAUCUAUGAUAUAUACAGUACUCUGUAAAGUCUCUCCUCCUGUCUGUGGUCAGGUCUGAUGGUAUCUAUGAUAUA
rnacentral:lncRNA from 1 species